AUGACCUUACUUGAACAGGAUCUGUUCUAUAGGUUCGUACCUCUGUAUCCUUGAUUUCUAAGGAGACAGGAAACCAUGUCUGGACGAUGAACUCAGGCUGCUUGGCUAGAGCGUGAUUAACAGCACCAUGGGUCAGUUCUCUGGCUCGUUGUGCAGUAGAUGAUUGUUCUAGGCAUGACCCUUGGAUGGCCUGGCAGUUGUCUGACGGACU